UGUGUCCUACGGGGCGCAGCAGUGAGGAAUAUUGGUCAAUGGGCGCGAGCCUGAACCAGCCAAGUAGCGUGAAGGAUGACCGCCCUACGGGUUGUAAACUUCUUUUAUAAAGGAAUAAAGUGAGGCACGUGUGCCUUUUUGUAUGUACUUUAUGAAUAAGGACCGGCUAACUCCGUGCCAGCAGCCGCGGUAAUACGGAGGAUCCGAGCGUUAUCCGGAUUUAUUGGGUUUAAAGGGCGCGUAGAUGGGGUGUUAAGUCAGUUG
rnacentral:rRNA from 1 species